CCUAGAGAUAGCUGGUUGCUCAGGAAAUGAAUAUAAGUUCAGCCCUAAAUAUAGAUUUUUAACAAUUAAAGUAAAAAGUCUACUUAGGAUUUAUUCAAUCAGGGUACAGCCUGAUUGAAACAGGAUACAACCUAUAAUACUGGGUAAAGAUUAUAAUCUUCAAGGAAAGUUGAGUCAGUGGGCCUAAAAGCAGCCACCUGUAAAGACAGCGUCAAAGCUCACUCAACCAUUUAACCCUUUAAUUAGUAUAACUAAUUCUAAACCCCCAAACAAUACUGAGCUAUUCUAUAAACUAUAGAAGCACUUAUGCUAGAACUAGUAAUGUGAAUACACGAUUCUCCUAAAUGUAAGUGUAAAUCAGAUCGAAUAAAUCACUGAUAAUUAACGUCCUCCCUGAGAUCCUUGCAAUAACAAAACAAGAAAACCAUGCACUUAUUACCGUUAAUCUAACACAAGAACAUUACAGGAAAGAUUAAAAGACGCAGAAGGAACUCGGCAAACUAUGAACCCCGCCUGU
rnacentral:rRNA from 1 species